UCUUCUUCCUCCUUCCCGUGUCGCAGUCGCAGAAACCCCAACUUCAGCGCAAAGGGUUCCCGGAGCCCCUCUGACUUGUUCGUGCUGACAGAACGCCGCCUCUAACUUACACCGAGCGCGCGGGUCGCCGGAGCGGCACGUACGGCGCCGCCGCACUCCGGCCGUUCCUGCUUCUAAAUGCAUUCGUGAAAUCUCCGGCGGCAUGGUCCACCACGUUAUGGUAGACCGUAGACGCAGUUGGCAGUUGCUGGCAAAGUGCAGAGAAUUUCAGGCAGGGAGCUUCAGGACCGUCACAAAUUCA
rnacentral:lncRNA from 1 species